rnacentral:rRNA from 1 species
UACAGAGGGUGUGAGCGUUGUCCGGAAUCACUGGGCGUAAAGGGCGCGUAGGUGGCUCGUUAAGCGUGUGGUGAAAGCCUGGGGCUCAACCCCAGGUCUGCCGUGCGAACUGGCGAGCUUGAGCAGAGUAGAGGCGGGUGGAAUUUCGGGUGUAGCGGUGGAAUGCGUAGAUAUCCGAAAGAACACCGGUGGCGAAGGCGGCCCGCUGGGCUCUUGCUGACACUGAUGCGCGACAGCGUGGGGAGCAAACAGG